GUUCUCAUCUAAAAUUAGAAAUUCUCAUAUGCCACUUAACUGAUUUUUGUGUGAAAAAGCUACAUCUUUUGGGGUGAUUGAUAUAUUUCGCGUUAAAAAGUCACUGUAUAGCAUUAUUAAUAUUUGUCUGUCGUUUUUUUGCAAGAUUUGUGGUCUUUUUUUGUAAAUGCGAAUCCAAAACUUCAUCAUUUUAUGAUAAACCUUUUUCAUAGGAUGCUAGAAUGAACUAUUUCAACACCCAGGAAAUAGUUGAAGCAAAUGAACCUUAAAAAAUUACUCAUUCUGCAUUUUUGUUAUACUUUUAUGCCAUUUUUGAAAUAUAUACAUAACAUAGCAUUUGCCCAUCUUUAUUUCAGAUGUUUCAAUGAAAAGUAUGCUAAAUUCAGUCUGUUUUCUCUUACUUGUAUUUGUCAGGUCUGUAUGCCUGCAUACCGACCUGGUGUAUGCUAAACCCUCACUCUAUGUGUAUACUAGAAUUUGUCAGGUCGGUAUGCCAGCAUACCGACCUGGUGUAUGCUAAACUCUCACUCUAUUCAUAUACUAGUAUUUGUCAGGUCUGUAUGCCUGCAUACCGACCUGGUGUAUGCUUAACUCUUACUCUAUGCGUACAAAUGUAUACUAGAAUUUGUCAGGUCUGUAUGCCAGCAUACUGACUUGGUGUGUGCUAAACUCUCACUGUAUGCGUAUACUAGUAUUUGUCAAGUCUGUAUGCCUGCAUACCGACCUGGCGUAUGCUAAACUCUCACUUUCUGCGUAUAUUAGUAUUUGUCAGGUCUGUAUGCCUGCAUAUAGACUCAAAUUAUUAUUUAUUUUGGCAUUUUUCUGCCAGGUACUUGUAUGCCUGCAUGGAUUCUAAAAUUUUAUUCUGGAUUCAUGUUUGUAUUGGCAAGUCUGUCUGCCUGAAUGCUAAGCAUUUACUGUGUAGUAACAUUUCUUAUUUACUUAUGUUUGCAUAACCAACCCCCAUAGAAAAUAAGGAGAUGUGUAUGAUUUUGAAAGAGACAUACAAAUGUAUCUCCAUCAAACAUGUCAAAGGCCGAAUUACAUCGAUGUAAGGAAUUACUUAUGUAUAGCUUUCAACUUCGUUUGAAUUUGAAAGAAAGCUCUCAAUUCUUAACUGCAACACUCAGGGGUUUAUUCCUGUAUAUCAACCCGCUUUUCAAUAAACUCUUGUAAUAAAAUGGAAUUCAUAGGUUUGAUUGUCGGCAUACCGACCUAUAGUCCUAUACACAUUGGAACAUAAAAGUUUGCAUAUUUGUUUGACAUUUUCAGUUCACGGUAUUCUUGCAUACAACACUGGUGUACGGUGAACACUUAUUUUUUUUUUA